AAUGACCACCACACGCAUAGCGUAUCGCUUCCCCCUUCCGUUCCAGCGUUGCCAACCCAUCCCUACCACCAUGGAAACUUUUACCCUGCCCCUUGCCCCGAUAAUCCCCUGACAACUGGGCGGCCCAUCAACGUCGGUGCUAUUCAUGCCGCGCAUCUCGGCUCACGCAGUUGCCCUGUUGCCUCGUUUUCUUCUUUGAACUCGGGCUUUCUUGUCCAACAAGCUCGAACUUGUCUCCGAGAAACUUUUUUUCAAAAUACCACUAUUAACAGCGACAUCGAACAAAACGACUGUACAUAACCUUAUCCUAGUCGCAUUUCGAUCGCCGUUUACGAGAAGGCUAGGAAAAUCCGGAUAUAUUCGAGGAACUAAAACGCUGCGACAAAUCAAGUGAAAAGCAAACAUUCUGUUUUGUAAGGCAGUGCAGUUAUCUCUUUCCAAGAGUGAAACACGGGGCACGUGUUUGAACUUGCUCGCCAUGCGAUCUGGCAACGCUGUGCUUCGUUCAAAAUAGCACUCCCAGCUGGCGGCUUUCGCUUAGCAUUCGAUAGGAUAUGGUUCGAUAAAGAUCGUUUUGUAUCAUCUUAGGAAAACGAUGUAAUUGUAAUCUUCAUUUGCACUUUGUCUUAUCAUGGAAAUUGACCGUAAAGGGUUUGGCAAAUUCAAAAGAGACUGGCGACACGGUCGAUACGUGCCAUCGAUUGCAUCAUCUUAAAAAGAUGGCUGUUCCUUUCUGCUUGGAAACAGUUAUGCGGAAAUACAUACAGUUCAGUUAUUUCUUUUACACGCUACUUACAUUAAACGUUGAAACUGAUUCAAUUUUAGUAAUCGAGCAACCGAAACGAAUCUGAGACUAAUUCUUGAUUAUUGAUUGGAAAAUAAAAUUGAUAUAAAUAGAAAUGCUGUAAACUGCAAGGAAAUGCAAGUUGAAACUUUUGAACUGCGUCUGCGCUACCAUCUAUCGACUUACAGGAAAAUCAUGAAAAACCACAGCGACUGAUAAGAACGGGAUAAAAAAUUGUUGUGGAACGUAUUCUGCAUCACAAAAUAAAGAUUGUUACUACCAGUCACUGUGUACUUCAAUAUUAUUUCAACCUGGAUGCAGGAAUAAUUUUGCACUUUUUCAAAAUGCAGUUUGAUAGUACUUUGUCAAGUAGCUGUACUGUCAGCUGAUUUAAAAAAAAAUUACUGCGGUUAAUUUUAUAAAAGUACUAUACUGACAAAAUUAGUGGGAAUAGUCUUUCUAGUUACAGACAGGUAUGGGAAUUUGACACACGGAUUCCUACAUACCGGGCUGAAUCAUCCGAAAACCGCCGAGACAAGUCGGUGCAGGUUCAGUCUUGUCGACUGCAUAACGACAUCUCCAACGUACCGACGGGUUACCAUGCAGAAUGCAUCAAUGAUGUAGGCGAAUCUUUUUUGAGGAUGAUUCAUUGAAGAUACACAAGAGACUUGCAGCAGAAAUAUUCAUUGUAAUUGACUUUUUAUUACUGUUGGCGCCUAUGGACGCUUGGGAAAAUCGUUCACCGUGUACUUAGGAGGCUAAUUGAUUAAUUAAUACACGGAGGUUUAAUAGUUAUAAGGUUUUACUGGUUUGUAAUUGUUGAUUACAAUUUCUUUAGCA
rnacentral:lncRNA from 1 species